UACGUAGGGGGCGAGCGUUGUCCGGAGUUACUGGGCGUAAAGCGUACGCAGGCGGUCUGCUAAGUUUGGAGUGACAGUUGGUGGCUUAACUGCCAAAGUGCUUCGAAAACUGACAGACUUGAGGGCUUCAGAGGGACACGGAAUUCCGGGUGGAGUGGUGAAAUGCGUAGAGAUCCGGAGGAACACCAAAGGCGAAGGCAGUGUCCUGGGGAGUACCUGACGCUCGAGGUGCGAAAGCCAGGGGAGCGAACGGGG
rnacentral:rRNA from 1 species